rnacentral:lncRNA from 1 species
AUCAUACAUUUUAAGAUAGUAGCUGUGAUCCACACCUGUAAUCCUCAGUUUGGGCAGGACUGAUGUGGGACAGCCACAAGUGCAAGAGCAAUUUGGGGCAAAGAGUGAAUAGCCUGAGCUAUAGUAGUGAUAAAAUCUAGUUGUCAUACGCACUGAGGGUAGGGAACAUAGCGCAAUAGUUGAGCCUCUGUCUAGCAUAUGUAUGCUUCUAGGUUUGAUCUCCAUUGUCACACAAAAUAAAUAAAACAAGGAAUCACACACAUUACAUUUGUGUGUGCUGUGACAUACAUCAUAUGUACAUAUAAAUUAUUUAUGUAUUUUAGGCAGCAUUUUCUGUAAAUAUAACUUUUAUUCACUAGAUGUAAUUGUCUCAGAGGCUUACUGUUGAAUAAGUUCAUCUUUUCUACUUCUUUCUCAACUCUGACUGGCUGGUUCAGCCCAGCCUUUCUGGCUCAAACUCCUCUCCAAGCUGACUGAUUCUAUUCUGGCUUUUCUUGGCUUCUCAGUGAGUGCUUGGCUUGGCCUCAUGCUAACCCUGGGACUUGUUCUAAUCUCCUUGCUCUGUCUCAUUCUCUGACUUCAUCUGCCUGUGCAUGCACUCAGACAGACUCCACUCCCCUUCACUGAACUCACUUAAGUAAACUGCCCCAAACCGCACUGAGCUCAACUGAGUGCACUCAGUGCUGCUCUUCAUUUGCUGCUCUCCUGAGAGAUGGACAUCUCCCGUCUCUGACGCAUUCUGUCAGAUCUUUCUCUGAUUCGUCACUUUGUCUGGGCUCUCAGUUAGAUGUCACUUGCAAACAUCGAUGCUUCCUUCCUUCUGCCAACUAGCCCUUCCUACACUGUUUGGGAUUAAAGGUGUGUAGUAAGUGCUUAUUAGUCUUCCAGCCAGAGGGAUUAAAGGCGCAUGAUGUGUCUGCAGUGCAUUCUAGACCUAGAGCACAGACUUAGGUCUUUUGAUGUGAUCUCUUGCCAGAGCAGCCAUGUGGCUGGGUUAAAACUCUUCUACAAUUUUCAAAUGAAGGAAAAAAAUUUAAUAUGCUCUAACAUUAGGAAUUUGAAAAAAAAGUUAACAGCUAGAAUCUCAGUGAUUCCUUCAGCUUUCUGUUUCAGGUACAUGAUGACUUUGAGACAAUAGAGAAUGAAGGAUUGUUGCGGUUUUAAAAUCAUCACUUUCCCCCUACUCUGUAGCCAGUAAUAUAGUUUCUGAUGAAUUCCAGUAUGCAUUUGGUAGCAGUUACUACAGCACACUUGAGGAGGGAAUUUCUUUUGAAGACAGACAGUGUGCAUCCUCUCCAUCAUCAAAAUUAUAUGAUAGAGGUGUAAUCUGAAGUCACAUGACAUUGUUGCAUGUUUUUUAUUAAAAGAAAAUUGGAAAAUUUUAACUGAAACAAAUGUAGUAAUACAGAUAUCUUUGAUUGUGUUUUAUGUGUUUUGACUUCAAAUGAUAAAGGAAAAAUUUUCAAUGAAUUUCAGUCAGUAGAAAUUGAAAAGAUUCUUAAUUUUAUGGGAGCAAUCAUAAACAGUACAUUAGGUUUUCUCUAAUAACAUGUCCCAUUAAAAACGUCAUUACCGUGUAGUCUAUGGCCUAUCUGUGACAAUGAGAAAGGAAGAACACUGAAGUAUGAGAAGCAUGGCGUUUUUACCUGUUGUGGGCUCUGUCGAGUCAAAAGUACAUUGACUUCUGGACUAGCUGCCAGACAUGAGCAGCCAGUGUCAGUGUGUUACCACCUCGUGUAACUGAAAUCACUCCCUGAAGCCAGUCUGUGUGGCAAAGUCCUAGAUGAGGUCUUCAUGGGUGCUGACCAUAAAAAGUUCAUCAAAGUAAUGAGGCGAGGAGAGAGCUUGGUGCUCAUGGGCAGAGCUCAGCACCAAGGAGUGUGAACUGGCUCCAGCUGUGGCAAUAAAACAGCAGGUGGCUGCUGUCAUUAGGGGUGGCAGAUGAGGCAGGGGACUCACAUGCAGCCCACAAAACUCUCAUUUGUUAGCCAUCGCCACUGUACCAUGCAAAAUAGCUUCCAUCUCAGUCAAUUUUACUUUGCAAAAUAUUAUACAUAGCCAUAGACUAUUGGAGCUCUGAGCACACAGGUCUGCUUCCCUCUCCUUCGCCUGCCUCCAUUCUCCUCUCUGUUUCUUCUCUUCUGUCCAUUGACUCAGCUCACCCUCCCUUCUUUCCUUCACCAUUUAGGCCAAGUAGCCCUGUCUGUAAGCUCAUGUGGACACUGUAUUAACUCCGUAAAGGUCUCCCAGUUACAGAAAGAAGGCGCUGUCAUUCUCCUCAGCUGGCAGUAAUUGUUGUCCGGCUAAGCCAGAUCCUUGCUUUUGAUCCACUUGUUCAGUCCUCCUCUGUGAAGGCUUUAGAGAAGAACCAUAGUGUCCUUGUCAGUGUCCUCACUAGUUCAUUGGUCCAGGAGCUAGCUGAUAGAUUCCAGAAUUUAGUGCUGAGUUUCAGGUUAGAAGUGAAACAUGACAUUGUUUUAGCAGUAUGACUUUUUAGUAUACCUUGUGAUUGGAAGUAUAACUGUAGGCCAAACUUUAGUAUUUUACCUUGAAAGGAAAACUUUCAAUAAUAGAUACCAGGAAAUUAAAGAAGUCUGAUAGAAACUG